AUUGAACGCUGGCGGCAGGCCUAACACAUGCAAGUCGAACGAGUGGCGGACGGGUGAGUAAUGUCUGGGAAACUGCCCGAUGGAGGGGGAUAACUACUGGAAACGGUAGCUAAUACCGCAUACCAUCGGAUGUGCCCAUAUGGGAUUAGCUAGUAGGUGGGGUAACGGCUCACCUAGGCGACGAUCCCUAGCUGGUCUGAGAGGAUGACCAGCAAAACGGGAAUGGAGAAACGGCCCAGACCCCUACGGGAGGAAGAAGGGGGGAAUAUUGCAAAAGGGGCGCAAGCCUGAGGCAGCCAGGCCGGGGGGAUGAAGAAGGCUUUGGGGUUGUAAAGUAUUUUCGGCGAGGAGGCGUUACUCGCAGAAGAAGCACCGGCUAACUCCGUGCCAGCAGCCGCGGUAAUAC
rnacentral:rRNA from 1 species